GCAGCACAAGGAACACCGGUAAACCUUUUGAAGCAAUCAAAUCGUCUCCCUCCUCUUUCGAAGGUCUAUAGCAUCAGAUCGAAAUAGAAAAUGUGUAUUGAAUUUUGGAGAGUCAUGGACAUCAGAAUCCAAACAAAUCAAAUGAGGACAAAAAAUUUAACAAAAUUCAAUCAUCUUCAACGCAACCUAUCUCGGUGAUCGAAAAAUUGUACAACAGCCAGUUGACAAUGUCUUGGAGGUUUAGAGGAAUUCCUAUUCAACGUCUCACUGAACGCCGAUUACAACAUACCGCCGGCUAUCUCUGAUUCUCCGGUCACCUUUGAUCAAGUUAACUCCAACGCCACAUGUUCGACAACAAUAAAGAUAAGAUUUAGAACGAUUUUGUGUGCGACUUUGGGAUUUAAAUUCGCUGGUCUUUCACUAUGUUCCCCCCCCCCCCCCCCCUUGUUAAAUGAAACUCGGGAACAUGCUUUUUCAUAUUUUCAUCCUUUUCUCUCCUCUCCCCUUGUUAAAUAACACUCUGGGAACAAAUUUAUCAGGGCCGUCUCCGUAAAGGUUAAAAUUUUUAUUGGCCCUGUGCGAGUUAAAAUAAACGGGCCCUACCCGCCCUAGUAAAACAAGAAUUUAGGGUUGUUGUUGCGUCACUCAAUAAUUCGAUCAGAUCUUUUGCAAAAUCUCACGUAAUUGCUAUUGUUGUUGCCUCAGUGAGUCUUGCGUCGCUGGGUUUUUUGUAGCUCCCCAUGAGGUUUAUUUUUAUUGGGAUUGAAUGUUUAAAUAUUUGGCCCUGUGGGUUCGGUCUAAUUGUUUAAAAAUAUUGGCACUCAAAAUCUGAAUCAAAUUUGAGCCACUUAAACAGAUUGGGCCGAUUGGCACCCAAAAACUCAAGCAAACUUCGGCCAGUUGAAGUGCUAAAGAGAUUGGCGAGGGCCUACUUUGGGUUUACUUUGGACCGGAUUGAUUCGGGUAUCGUAAUGGACUAAACCAAAUUGGGUGAGCUUCUAAUAAAACUUAUAUUGAAAAGCAGAGAAACGUAAGCGUGUUGUAACGCUAAAUUUAGAAAUUUGUAAAACAUUAUACAUACAUUAAUACCAUAUUACAAGUACUAUAACGAACCAAAAAUAUUAACGUCAUUUUUGAAUAAUUUGUAAAAAAAUAUUUUAG
rnacentral:lncRNA from 1 species